GGGCGCGCGCGUGGACCAGAGGGGCGAAGGCGCGAGAGCGCUAGUGCGCGUGCGCGAGCGGCGGGGCUUUCUCUCCCGCCGUCGGAGGAAACCGGAGCGCUUGUCCUGAGGCAUCUCUACAUCCUCCCCACCGCGGAGACAGGGCCUCCCGAGAGGAGUUGCCCACCUGGCAGCGUCGUCUCCACCUUUGUUUCCUGCCCAGAGGGAUGCUGGCAGGAGGGCUGUUGUGAAGAACCAUGCAUCUCAGCUGAACUCUGUGGAUAGCCUCUUGCUUGCCCAUGGUGCCAUGCUAGCAUCACCUGCCAGAGAAAACCAGUGUUCUGAGUGAGUGUCCAGAUGAAGUGCCCUUGGCAGGAUUGAUGAACAGGAAGUGGUAAACUUUGACCUGGUCCUGGGAGAAUGAGAAGAUACUACAAGGACCGAGGAAAGGGUCCUGAACACAACUCCAGAAGUUAAUUUUAUAGCCUUUUAGGAAACGCAGUGUGGGCAGAAGAAGGAAGCUGGCUGUCUAGGCUUCGGCAAUAUUGAUGUUAGUUGACUCAGAGAGUCAAAGAGACAGAACGUCCCUUGAACAUUAAGGAGUCAAAAAGAGAUCCCUAAGCACUCAAAAAAGUCAUAGAAAAAGGAAAGUUUAAAAAAAGAAAGAAAAGAAAAUGUAUUAAACAUCUACCUUCAGCUUGGCACUUGCCUUUUUUUUUUUUAAUCAAUUUUGCCACCGUCUGUCCUCUCCCUCAUCUCCUAGGGAAGAGGUUGCAUACCUCUAGGGGGAGUGUCUUAGUUAUCUAGUGCUGCUUUAACCAAGAGAAAUUUAUUUUCUCAGUCUAGUGGCUAGAAGUCCAAAUUCAGGGCAACAGCUCCAGGAGAAGGCUUUCUGUCUGUCAGCUCGGAAGAAAGGUCCUUGUCAUCAAUCUUCCUUUGGACUAGGAGCUUCUUGCCGCAGGAAGCUCAGAUCCAAAGGACACGGUCUGCCCCCGGCGCUACUUUCUUGGUGAUGUGAGGCCCCCUUUCUCUCUGCUUGCUUCUCCUUUUUAAAACUCAAGAGAGAUUGGUUCAAAACAUAAUCCAAUCUUGUAGAUUGAGUUUGGCCUCAUUAACAUAACUGUCUCCUAUCCCACCUCAUUAACAUCAUAGAGGUAGGAUUUACAACUCAUAGGAAAAACACAUCAGAUGACAAAAUGGUGGACAAUCACACAAUACUGGGAAUCAUGGCUUAGCCAAAUUGAUACUUGUAUUUUGGGGGGAUACAAUUCAAUCCAUGACAGGGAGCCAUUCUUGAGAAGCAUGGAAAGUCCCUUCUUGGGGAUUUCCCCCUUUCGCUGGAAAGUUUGCAGACCAUCUCCCAUUCCCCCAUGAUGAUCCAUUGCUCCUUGCUUCUGUAUUCUUAGAUGCUUAGGCCUCUGUUUGUCUCUGACUUCCAGCUUCUGUAAAGGGGCUCUCACCCUCCCACCCCCCUUUAAUGUCCAUAUUGGACAAAGCUAUUUGGCUUGACCAGCCCCUUUUUCAGCUGCAAGCCUGGCCUCCGGCCCAAUGAUAAGCACCCACCCUUCUUGUUUCUAUUUCAGAUAUUGAGCUGCUCACAGCUCUGUGGGUCUCCUGCAGAUUAACUGGGCUAGGCAUUCUGUCCCAGGCCCCAGGCUGCAGGUUGGGUUCAAGUCUGCUCCGCAUGUCUUGUUCUGGAGCCUAGGCCAAAGGGUCAGCAGCUACCUAGAGCAUGUUCUUCUCAUGGUGGAUCAGCAGAGCACAAGGGAGCACCCCAGCCACGCAAGCACAUUUCAGGCCUCUGUUGACAUCACGUGUCCAGCCAGAAGUUGCGAGGCAGGUGUCUUCCACUCUCCAUGAAGCCGUUAGUGGACUGUGAAUGAUUUUAUUACAAGAGGAUGACAAACAUGGACCAGUAAUUCAGUGUCUCAGAUUUUCAAACAACACUUUAGUUCAGAAGUAACUGUUGUGAGUCUUCUGAACCUCUUUCGAAGAGCAGAACCUUCAAAGAAUAGGGAGUGGCUUGAUGUGGAACAGCGUGGCACGCAAAGGAGGACCAGUGAGGACUGCAGAGCCUGGUGACAGAAGAAAAGAUUGGGCCAGGACAGAGAAGUCCUUGCCACACCCAGGAGACCCCUGAGUUUCUUGCGUACCUUGUGCAAAUCUUCCUUAGACUCCUGCAUGCUACAAGAGGAGCAGCUUUCCUAGUCAACUACAUAUGUCUUACUCAUGGCAUAAAAGCCCUUGGCCUACAUCUGCAGAGCAAAAGUUGAUCUCAAGAUCUGCUCAAAUAUGACUUGACAGCUUCAUUUCUUGAGGAAGUGGGAAAAAUUACUGGUGAUCUACCCACUACACAAUUUUGUUAAACACAAUAAACUGUGUAUAGUUCCCAUUUCAUUGUAUGGGUUCGGACAUUCCUUGUGAAACCUCUGUUUGUCCUUAAAAAGUCUCUAGUAAAUGAACCUCUUCAGGAAUUGAACACGGGGCCUGGGCAGGAAGGACCUAACUGACAGCUAUAUAGGAAGGAGUCUGAUGCCCUGGGUGACAAGAUAUCCCUACCUCAACUUUACCCUGCACUCCCAGAUUGAACCUGCAUACAGGCCACCUUUCCUGUAUCUCUUGCUUUAACUCCCAUUCAUUGAUUGCCUACUACGUGCCAGGCAUCAUUUUGGGUGCUUCACCAAUAUUUCAGUGUAAUUCUCAACAAUAGCGCUGUGAGGAAGACAAUAUUACUCCCACUGUAAAGCUGAGGAAACCGAGGGUCAGAGAGGGGCAGUAAUUUGCUGAAGAUCUCAGAGCUAGUAAGUGGCAAGGGCCCUAUACAUAUUAUUAUGACUCUCCUAAUUAUUCCAGCUCAGCAGAUCACAGGAUGAAACACCCAAAAAUGAUAAUUUCAACCCAGCAAUGGUGCUUAGAGCAAUAAUGGUUUUUUCCUGCUCUAAAGGCCCAACGCAGAAACAGGGAUCCCUGGUAAAAGACAAGGAGUCACCACACAAUGUGAGUUUUGGCCCAUUUGAAGAAGUCUAUCACAUACCACUUUCCCGUACCUCCUUGGCUCCAAUUCCUCAAUCAUGUUCCUUCCAAGUCACUGUCUAUCCAGCCAAACCAUUGACCACAGCCCAUGAAUUGCAUAUCUGGCCAUUUAUCCUUCCAAGCAGAGUGAACAACCAGGUGCACUACUUGAAGUUCUGCCAUUUGGAAGAUAUCCCUUCGCCACUGUCCUUCAGGGAAGUCCCAGAAAUGGGCUGCAGCGCUGCCGCUGUGCACAUUCAAGUGGUUCCUACAUAUUAUGCAGAACAGUCAAUACGCCAGGCACGAAUUUUCUCUUCCUCAGGCAACUGAUCAUGAGGCAGUCCCAAUGAGGCCAUAGGUGCAAACUGGGAGAGGGCAGGUAAUGUGACAGGAGUGGGGACCAUGAUAUUUGGGCCAUUUCCUCAUGCAAAUUGCUUGAGUGUUAGGUCAUGCUCAGGCCCUGUAUUGUAUAUACCUCUUCCAUUUAAUGAUGGAGUGCUGCCGUGCACAUCCAAUUUUAUGGCUCUGUGGGUCAGACAACACCAAAUUCGUGAUGGGUGACUCAGGCCACAUGGUGAUUUGGUGGCCCAUAGUUAAGAGUUCAGUCUCUACUAAGACCCAGUAACAAGACAAAAACUGUUUUGCAAAAGGAGAGUAGUUAACUGUGUAGGAUGGCAGGGCUUUGCUCCAAAAUCCUAAAGAUCUGCACUGUGAUUCACCAAUAGGAGCCUGCCAAAGACCCCAAAUAACAUCUUUAUUUGCAACUGACUCUGCAAACAUCACUGGAUCAGCUGGAUCUUAUGGCUCAAGUGACAGAACAGCUUGCAUGUCAGUCUGAACCUUUUGAAAGGCCUUCUCUUGUUCUGGGCCACACUCAAAAUUAGCAGUUUUUCAAGUCACUUGAUAAAUAGGCUGGAGUAAGCACACUUAAAUGAGGGGUAUGUUGCUUCCAAAAUACAAAGACGUCUAGCAGGGUUUGUGCCUCCUUUUUAGUUGUAGGAGGGGCCAAAUACAUCAACUUAUCCUUCACUUUACAAGGAACAUCUUGACAUGCCCACACCACUGGAGCCCUAGAAAGUUCGCUGAGGUGGAAAACAUCUGAAUUUUUUGGGAAUAAUUCCCACCCUCUACAACGCAAAUGUUGUACCAAUAACUCUAGAGUCAUUGAUACUUCUUGCUUUCUAAGUCCAAUCAACAGAAUAUCAUCAAUGUAACAGACCAGUGUGAAGUAUUGUGGAAAGGAAAGGCGAUUAAGGUCCCUGUUGAUUAAAUGAUCACAUAGGGCUAGAGAGUUGACAUACUGCUGAGAUAAGACAAUGAAGGUGUAUUGCUGGCCUUGCCAUCUGAAGGCAAACUGCUUCAGUUGGUCCUUUAAAACAGGGAUGGAAAAAAAUGAUUGGCCAGAUUAAUGGCUGCAUACCCCAGGAAAUAUAUUAAUUUGCAGGCCACGUUCCCAAGGAAACGCCUCUUCCAACUGAUUGGCUGCUCAUAUCAGACCUUAAAAUGGAGUGUGAUUACAUAAUGUCUGCCAAACCCCUGAGAAUCAUGGCCUACCCAAGUUGACACAUAACAUUAACCAUCACAGUGGUGAUAAAAAUGUUUUGAGGUAGAUACUGGUGAUGCUGAAUAGGAUUGUGAAAGUACGUAAACCACUAUAUUACACACUUGAAAGCUAUUAAAACAAAACUUUAUUUAAUGAGAAAUGUACCAGUUAAAAUACUAUAAACUAUACAAAAUAAAUUGAGCUGGAAAAAUACUGCAACAAAACCCAAAAACUACCCACUCAGGUGAGGAGAGUAAGGGUCUGCUUCCGGAGCAGAUGUUCCCUGGCUGUCAAUAAGGAGCUGCUGUGGAGGAGGUGUGGCAUCUAGCUCAGCCUCUGGUGCCCCAGACGGUGCUGGAGAUGGAGGACUUAAUGGUGUAGGGGGCUUCAGUGUUGGAACAGGAGCUGGAUCAAAUCAGCUGUUCGUCUGGGAGCCAGUUGGAAGUGGCCCAGGAUGGAAAUCUACCCCUCCAGCUGGCCCUUCAUCUGGUGUCGGUGAUGAAGCUGGAGAAGGAAGACCUGUGGCUUCAACAAGCUCCAGUGUUGGUCCAGGAUCAGAAUGAACAUCAGCCGGUGCUAUGGAAGCCGCUUCUGAAGGUGACCCAGGAUAGGAAUCCGAUGCUCCAGCUGGCUCUUUGUCUAGUGUCACUGCUGGAGCUGAUGAUGGAAUAACUGGUGCUCUAAGGAGCUCUGGUGUUGGUGCAGGAGCGGGAUCAACAUCAGCAGGUGAUGGAGGAACCUUUUCAGGAGGCUGUGGAGGGUUGGUAUCCAGCUCAUCCAGCCAGCUGUUCUCCUGGUGCCCAGGCCAGAGCUGGAGAUGGAGGGCGGUGGGCUACAGCGAGCUCUGGUGUUGGUGUAGCAGCAGGACUAGGGUUGACAUCAGCCGGUGGUCCAGGAGGCAGUUCUGGAUGUAGCCCAUGGUAAGAAUCAGACCUUCCAGCCAGCUGUCCAUCUGGUACCAGUGAUGCAGCUGGUGAUGGUGCUCCAUGGAGGUCCAGUGUUAGUCCAGGAGCAUGAUCAA